AUUUAAUAGCGGAGCACCCAGCGUAUGUCUUCUACCGAACUCAACCGAACAAAAGCACUUGCGAAUACCGUCGAAUAUUCUCGUCCGAUGCUCCAGCACAGGGCCAAUACAAGGAACGCAGCUAUCGCAGCAGUAUGGUACGAGCACAUUGGGCGUCUUAUCUGAUAGUCAACGAUUCAAUGCGGAUGUUUUUUUAUCUCUAUUAAAUUAGUAGGAAAGACAGAAACAGUUAAACGGCAUUUUUCUCCCAUUUCCAACUGAUUUGUCUUUUGUUUAAUAUCGUUUUACGAGCUUUGGUGUCAUCCAUAAAAACAAUUUGGAAAUAUUGUAGUUUUUUUAUUUAUUUCACCAAUAAAUCAUCAGAGAAACUAUAAAA